rnacentral:rRNA from 1 species
AUUGAACGCUGGCGGCAGGCCUAACACAUGCAAGUCGAGCGGAUGAAGGGAGCUUGCUCCUGGAUUCAGCGGCGGACGGGUGAGUAAUGCCUAGGAAUCUGCCUGGUAGUGGGGGAUAACGUCCGGAAACGGGCGCUAAUACCGCAUACGUCCUGAGGGAGAAAGUGGGGGAUCUUCGGACCUCACGCUAUCAGAUGAGCCUAGGUCGGAUUAGCUAGUUGGUGGGGUAAAGGCCUACCAAGGCGACGAUCCGUAACUGGUCUGAGAGGAUGAUCAGUCACACUGGAACUGAGACACGGUCCAGACUCCUAUGGGAGGCGGCAGUGGGGAAUAUUGGACAAUGGGCGAAAGCCUGAUCCAGCCAUGCCGCGUGUGUGAAGAAGGUCUUCGGAUUGUAAAGCACUUUAAGUUGGGAGGAAGGGCAGUAAGUUAAUACCUUGCUGUUUUGACGUUACCAACAGAAUAAGCACCGGCUAACUUCGUG